rnacentral:rRNA from 1 species
UACGUAGGGUCCGAGCGUUGUCCGGAAUUACUGGGCGUAAAGAGCUCGUAGGUGGUUUGUCGCGUUGUUCGUGAAAACUCACAGCUUAACUGUGGGCGUGCAGGCGAUACGGGCAGACUUGAGUACUGCAGGGGAGACUGGAAUUCCUGGUGUAGCGGUGGAAUGCGCAGAUAUCAGGAGGAACACCAGCGGCGAAGGCGGCGCUCUGGGCCGGAACUGACGCUGAGGAGCGAAAGCGUGGGUAGCAAACAGG